GUGACACGAGGAUUUUCAGUCCUCUGCUCUACCAGCUGAG
rnacentral:tRNA from 2 species